GUGGGGAAUCUUGCACAAUGGAGGAAACUCUGAUGCAGCGACGCCGCGUGAACGAUGAAGCCCUUCGGGGUGUAAAGUUCUUUCGUCAGGAACGAUAAUGACGGUACCUGGAGAAGAAGCUGCGGCUAACUACGUGCCAGCAGCCGCGGUAAUACGUAGGCAGCAAGCGUUGUUCGGAAUUAUUGGGCGUAAAAAGUAUGUAGGUGGUGUCGUAAGUUUGGUGUGAAAUCUCCCGGCUUAACUGGGAGGGUGCGCCGAAGACUGCGAUGCUGGAGUAUGGGAGAGGGAAUCGGAAUUCCUGGUGUAGCGGUGAAAUGCGUAGAUAUCAGGAGGAACACCUGUGGUGUAGACGGGUUCCUGGACCAUUACUGACACUGAGAUACGAAAGCGUGGGUAGCAAACAGGAUUAGAUACCCUGGUAGUCCACGCCCUAAACGAUGCACACUUGGUGUGAGCCAUUCAGUUGGUUUGUGCCGGAGCUAACGCGUUAAGUGUGCCGCCUGGGGAGUACGGUCGCAAGGC
rnacentral:rRNA from 1 species